AGUUUGAUCCUGGCUCAGGAUGAACGCUAGCUACAGGCUUAACACAUGCAAGUCGAGGGGCAGCAUGAACUUAGCUUGCUAAGUUUGAUGGCGACCGGCGCACGGGUGAGUAACACGUAUCCAACCUGCCGAUGACUCGGGGAUAGCCUUUCGAAAGAAAGAUUAAUACCCGAUGGCAUAGUUCUUCCGCAUGGUAAAACUAUUAAAGAAUUUCGGUCAUCGAUGGGGAUGCGUUCCAUUAGGUUGUUGGCGGGGUAACGGCCCACCAAGCCUUCGAUGGAUAGGGGUUCUGAGAGGAAGGUCCCCCACAUUGGAACUGAGACACGGUCCAAGCUCCUACGGGAGGCAGCAGUGAGGAAUAUUGGUCAAUGGACGAGAGUCUGAACCAGCCAAGUAGCGUGAAGGAUGACUGCCCUAUGGGUUGUAAACUUCUUUUAUACGGGAAUAAAGUGAGGCACGUGUGCCUUUUUGUAUGUACCGUAUGAAUAAGGAUCGGCUAACUCCGUGCCAGCAGCCGCGGUAAUACGGAGGAUCCGAGCGUUAUCCGGAUUUAUUGGGUUUAAAGGGAGCGUAGGCGGACGCUUAAGUCAGUUGUGAAAGUUUGCGGCUCAACCGUAAAAUUGCAGUUGAUACUGGGUGUCUUGAGUACAGUAGAGGCAGGCGGAAUUCGUGGUGUAGCGGUGAAAUGCUUAGAUAUCACGAAGAACUCCGAUUGCGAAGGCAGCCUGCUGGACUGUAACUGACGCUGAUGCUCGAAAGUGUGGGUAUCAAACAGGAUUAGAUACCCUGGUAGUCCACACAGUAAACGAUGAAUACUCGCUGUUUGCGAUAUACAGUAAGCGGCCAAGCGAAAGCGUUAAGUAUUCCACCUGGGGAGUACGCCGGCAACGGUGAAACUCAAAGGAAUUGACGGGGGCCCGCACAAGCGGAGGAACAUGUGGUUUAAUUCGAUGAUACGCGAGGAACCUUACCCGGGCUUGAAUUGCAACUGAAUGAUGUGGAGACAUGUCAGCCGCAAGGCAGUUGUGAAGGUGCUGCAUGGUUGUCGUCAGCUCGUGCCGUGAGGUGUCGGCUUAAGUGCCAUAACGAGCGCAACCCUUAUCGAUAGUUACCAUCAGGUUAUGCUGGGGACUCUGUCGAGACUGCCGUCGUAAGAUGUGAGGAAGGUGGA
rnacentral:rRNA from 1 species